rnacentral:rRNA from 1 species
UACAGAGGGUGCGAGCGUUGUUCGGAAUUACUGGGCGUAAAGCGCGCGUAGGCGGCUUUGUAAGUCGGAGGUGAAAUCCCGGAGCUUAACCUCGGAACUGCCUUUGGGACUGCAAGGCUCGAGACCGGGAGAGGUGAGUGGAAUUCCCAGUGUAGAGGUGAAAUUCGUAGAUAUUGGGAAGAACACCGGUGGCGAAGGCGGCUCACUGGCCCGUUUCUGACGCUCAGGAACGAAAGCGUGGGGAGCAAACAGG